rnacentral:rRNA from 1 species
CCUACGGGUGGCAGCAGUGAGGAAUAUUGGUCAAUGGACGAGAGUCUGAACCAGCCAAGUCGCGUGAAGGAUGACUGCCCUAUGGGUUGUAAACUUCUUUUGUAUGGGAAUAAACUUUUCCACGUGUGUUAUUUUGUAUGUACCAUAUGAAUAAGGAUCGGCUAACUCCGUGCCAGCAGCCGCGGUAAUACGGAGGAUCCGAGCGUUAUCCGGAUUUAUUGGGUUUAAAGGGAGCGUAGGUGGAUUGUUAAGUCAGUGGUGAAAGUUUGGGGCUUAACCGUAAAAUUGCCUUUGAAACUGGCAGUCUAGAGUGUAGUAGAGGUGGGCGGAAUUCGUGGUGUAGCGGUGAAAUGCUUAGAGAUCACGAAGAACUCCGAUUGCGAAGGCAGCUCACUGGACUGCAACUGACACUGAGGCUCGAAAGUGUGGGUAUCAAACAGGAUUAGAUACCCGGGUAGUC